rnacentral:rRNA from 1 species
CCUACGGGAGGCAGCAGUGAGGAAUAUUGGUCAAUGGGCGGAAGCCUGAACCAGCCAAGUCGCGUGAGGGAAUAAGGCCCUACGGGUCGUAAACCUCUUUUAUAAAGGAAUAAAGUGAGGCACGUGUGCCUUUUUGUAUGUACUUUAUGAAUAAGGAUCGGCUAACUCCGUGCCAGCAGCCGCGGUAAUACGGAGGAUCCGAGCGUUAUCCGGAUUUAUUGGGUUUAAAGGGUGCGUAGGCGGAAUAUCAAGUCAGCGGUAAAAAUUCGGGGCUCAACCCCGUCGUGCCGUUGAAACUGAUGUUCUUGAGUGGGCGAGAAGUAUGCGGAAUGCGUGGUGUAGCGGUGAAAUGCAUAGAUAUCACGCAGAACUCCGAUUGCGAAGGCAGCAUACCGGCGCCCAACUGACGCUGAAGCACGAAAGCGUGGGUAUCGAACAGGAUUAGAUACCCUUGUAGUC